rnacentral:rRNA from 1 species
UACGGGGGGGCGGAAGCGUUGUUCGGAAUUACUGGGCGUAAAGGGCUCGUAGGCGGCCAACUAAGUCAGACGUGAAAUCCCCAGGCUUAACCUGGGAACUGCGUCUGAUACUGGAUGGCUUGAAUUCGGGAGAGGGAUGCAGAAUUCCAGGUGUAGCGGUGAAAUGCGUAGAUAUCUGGAGGAAUACCGGUGGCGAAGGCGGCAUCCUGGACCGAGAUUGACGCUGAUGAGCGAAAGCUAGGGGAGCAAACGGG